rnacentral:rRNA from 1 species
UAACUAGUUGGUAAGGUAACGGCUUACCAAGGCAACGAUGCGUAGCCGACCUGAGAGGGUGAUCGGCCACACUGGAACUGAGACACGGUCCAGACUCCUACGGGAGGCAGCAGUAGGGAAUCUUCCGCAAUGGGCGAAAGCCUGACGGAGCAACGCCGCGUGAGUGAUGAAGGUCUUCGGAUCGUAAAACUCUGUUAUUAGGGAAGAACAAAUGUGUAAGUAACUAUGCACGUCUUGACGGUACCUAAUCAGAAAGCCACGGCUAACUACGUGCCAGCAGCCGCGGUAAUACGUAGGUGGCAAGCGUUAUCCGGAAUUAUUGGGCGUAAAGCGCGCGUAGGCGGUUUUUUAAGUCUGAUGUGAAAGCCCACGGCUCAACCGUGGAGGGUCAUUGGAAACUGGAAAACUUGAGUGCAGAAGAGGAAAGUGGAAUUCCAUGUGUAGCGGUGAAAUGCGCAGAGAUAUGGAGGAACACCAGUGGCGAAGGCGACUUUCUGGUCUGUAUCUGACGCUGAUGUGCGAAAGCGUGGGGAUCAAACAGGAUUAGAUACCCUGGUAGUCCACGCCGUAGG